rnacentral:rRNA from 1 species
AAGGCCAAUCAAACCGGGAGAUAGCUGGUUCUCCCCGAAAGCUAUUUAGGUAGCGCCUCGUGAACUCAUCUUCGGGGGUAGAGCACUGUUUCGACUAGGGGGUCAUCCCGACUUACCAACUCGAUGCAAACUGCGAAUACCGAAGAAUGUUAUCACGGGAGACACACGGCGGGUGCUAACGUCCGUCGUGAAGAGGGAAACAACCCAGACCGCCAGCUAAGGUCCCAAAGUCAUGGUUAAGUGGGAAACGAAGUGGGAAGGCUCAGACAGCCAGGAUGUUGGCUUAGAAGCAGCCAUCAUUUAAAGAAAGCGUAAUAGCUCACUGGUCGAGUCGGCCCGCGCGGAAGAUGUAACGGGGCUAAACCAUGCACCGAAGCUGCGGCAGCGACACUUAGGUGUUGUUGGGUAGGGGAGCGUUCUGUAAGCCUGCGAAGGUGUACUGUGAGGUAUGCUGGAGGUAUCAGAAGUGCGAAUGCUGACAUAAGUAACGAUAAUGCGGGGGAAAAACCCGCACGCCGGAAGACCAAGGGUUCCUGUCCAACGUUAAUCGGGGCAGGGUGAGUCGACCCCUAAGGCGAGGCUGAAAAGCGUAGUCGAUGGGAAACGGGUUAAUAUUCCCGUACUGGUGGUAACUGCGAUGGGGGAACGGAGAAGGCUAGGUUGUCCGGGCGACGGUCGUCCCGGUUCAAGCAUGUAGGCAGAGUGAUUAGGCAAAUCCGGUCACUUAAUGCUGAGGUGUGAUGACGAGCCACUAAGGUGGUGAAGCAAUUGAUGCCCUGCUUCCAGGAAAAGCCUCUAAGCUUCAGGUUACCAACAAUCGUACCCCAAACCGACACAGGUGGUCAGGUAGAGAAUACUCAGGCGCUUGAGAGAACUCGGGUGAAGGAACUAGGCAAAAUGGUGCCGUACCUUCGGGCGCAGGCACGCUGGCGGUAAGUGAAGUCCCUUGCGGACGGAGCCGACGCCAGACUAAGAUACCAGCUGGCUGCAACUGUUUAUUAAAAACACAGCACUGUGCAAACACGAAAGUGGACGUAUACGGUGUGACGCCUGCCCGGUGCUGGAAGGUUAAUUGAUGGGGUUAUCCUUAGGGAGAAGCUCUUGAUCGAAGCCCCAGUAAACGGCGGCCGUAACUAUAACGGUCCUAAGGUAGCGAAAUUCCUUGUCGGGUAAGUUCCGACCUGCAC